rnacentral:misc_RNA from 1 species
UGUAAAUAGUAGAUGGGGAGAGAGAUUUCCAAAGUUCCAAAUUCUUCAACUUCAUAUUCACAGAGUCAGAAAGAAGAAUCGAUGCCACCGAAAUUAAUUUCCCAUUACAAAACAACAAAAGGAAUGAAAUUCCAUGCUGAAUCGACUCGGCUUCACUUCACCAGCUCAGAAACCCACCCAACGUCUGGUGCUGAAGCGGCCGGGUUAGACCCGUUCAUCGAGUUUUCUUUACUGAGCUUUGCGUAUAUCUUUGCCCUCAAGUCCCUUCCAGAUUCCACCCUCUCCAUUG